rnacentral:rRNA from 2 species
UGAUUUUAGGUGCUUGCACUUGAAAGAUUUAACAUUGAGACGAGUGGCGAACUGGUGAGUAACACGUGGGUAACCUGCCCUUGAAGUAGGGGAUAACACUUGGAAACAGGUGCUAAUACCGUAUAACAACCAAAACCACCUGGUUUUGGUUUAAAAGACGGCUUCGGCUGUCACUUUAGGAUGGACCCGCGGCGUAUUAGCUUGUUGGUAAGGUAACGGCCUACCAAGGCGAUGAUACGUAGCCGACCUGAGAGGGUAAUCGGCCACAUUGGGACUGAGACACGGCCCAAACUCCUACGGGAGGCAGCAGUAGGGAAUCUUCCACAAUGGACGAAAGUCUGAUGGAGCAACGCCGCGUGAGUGAUGAAGGGUUUCGGCUCGUAAAACUCUGUUGUUGGAGAAGAACAGGUGUCAGAGUAACUGUUGACAUCUUGACGGUAUCCAACCAGAAAGCCACGGCUAACUACGUGCCAGCAGCCGCGGUAAUACGUAGGUGGCAAGCGUUGUCCGGAUUUAUUGGGCGUAAAGCGAGCGCAGGCGGUUUUUUAGGUCUGAUGUGAAAGCCUUCGGCUUAACCGGAGAAGUGCAUCGGAAACCGGG